rnacentral:rRNA from 1 species
UACGUAGGGUGCAAGCGUUAAUCGGAAUUACUGGGCGUAAAGGGUGCGCAGGCGGUUAUAUAAGACAGAUGUGAAAUCCCCGGGCUCAACCUUGGAACUGCGUUUGUGACUGUAUGACUAGAGUACGGUAGAGAGGGGUGGAAUUCCUGGUGUAGCAGUGAAAUGCGUAGAUAUCAGGAGGAACAUCGAUGGCGAAGGCAGCCCCUUGGACCUGUACUGACGCUCAUGCACGAAAGCGUGGGGAGCAAACAGG